rnacentral:rRNA from 1 species
AUGCCUUUGGAGUUCACGAAGCACUUCCCCGCCGUCCCUGCAGAGUUCAAGCUCAAGACGAACACCGGCUGCGCAUGAAGGGUCACAAUGAGGAUGGUUGACGGGAGGGUCACCCUUGAUCAGGGUUGGGCCACCUUCGCCGCCGUUCACCAGAUCAUGAUCGGGUACAUGCUGACGUUCAAGCUGCUGCCCGACACCAUGAAGGUGAUCGUCUUCAAUGACGAGGGCAUGGAGGUGGUCAUCAAGUGCAAGGAGCACGACAACGCCUUCGCCGUUACCGCCUGA